UACGCUCUACAACCCUUUGUGAACAUACCUAUAACUGUUGCUUCGGCGGGUAGGGUCUCCGUGACCCUCCCGGCCUCCCGCCCCCGGGCGGGUCGGCGCCCGCCGGAGGAUAACCAAACUCUGAUUUAACGACGUUUCUUCUGAGUGGUACAAGCAAAUAAUCAAAACUUUUAACAACGGAUCUCUUGGUUCUGGCAUCGAUGAAGAACGCAGCGAAAUGCGAUAAGUAAUGUGAAUUGCAGAAUUCAGUGAAUCAUCGAAUCUUUGAACGCACAUUGCGCCCGCCAGCAUUCUGGCGGGCAUGCCUGUUCGAGCGUCAUUUCAACCCUCAAGCUCUGCUUGGUGUUGGGGCCCUACAGCCGAUGUAGGCCCUCAAAGGUAGUGGCGGACCCUCCCGGAGCCUCCUUUGCGUAGUAACUUUACGUCUCGCACUGGGAUCCGGAGGGACUCUUGCCGUAAAACCCCCAAUUUUCCAAAGGUUGACCUCG
rnacentral:rRNA from 4 species